AUUGAACGCUGGCGGCAUGCCUUACACAUGCAAGUCGAACGGUAACGGGCCUUCGGGUGCCGACGAGUGGCGGACGGGUGAGUAAUGUAUCGGAACGUACCUUUCAGUGGGGGAUAACGUAGCGAAAGUUACGCUAUACCGCAUAUUCUGUGAGCAGGAAAGCAGGGGAUCGCAAGACCUUGCGCUGAUUGAGCGGCCGAUAUCAGAUUAGCUAGUUGGUGAGGUAAAGGCUCACCAAGGCGACGAUCUGUAGCGGGUCUGAGAGGAUGAUCCGACACACUGGAACUGAGACGCGGUCCAGACUCCUACGGGAGUCAGCAGUGGGGAAUUUUGGACAAUGGGGGCAACCCUGAUCCAGCCAUGCCGCGUGAGUGAAGAAGGCCUUCGGGUUGUAAAGCUCUUUCGGCCGGGAAGAAAUCGCGCCAGUUAAUACCUGGUGUGGAUGACGGUACCGGAAUAAGAAGCACCGGCUAACUACGUGCCAGCCGCCGCCGUAAGAC
rnacentral:rRNA from 1 species